rnacentral:rRNA from 1 species
GCAGCAGGCGAGAAAACUUUGCAAUGUGCGAAAGCACGACAAGGUUAAUCCGAGUGUUUUCUGCUAAAGAAAUCUUUUGUCAGUCCUAAAAACACUGAUGAAUAAGGGGUGGGCAAGUUCUGGUGUCAGCCGCCGCGGUAAAACCAGCACCUCAAGUGGUCAGGAGGAUUAUUGGGCCUAAAGCAUCCGUAGCCUGCUUUGUAAGUUUUCGGUUAAAUCCAUGUGCUCAACAUAUGGGCUGCCGGGAAUACUGCACAGCUAGGGAGUGGGAGAGGUAGACGGUACUCGGUAGGAAGGGGUAAAAUCCUUUGAUCUAUUGAUGACCACCUGUGGCGAAGGCGGUCUACCAGAACACGUCCGACGGUGAGGGAUGAAAGCUGGGGGAGCAAACCGGAUUAGAUACCCGGGUAGUCCCAGCUGUAAACUAUGCAAACUCAGUGAUGCGUUGGCUUGUAGCCAGUGCAGUGCCGCAGGGAAGCCGUUAAGUUUGCCGCCUGGGAAGUACGUACGCAAGUAUGAAACUUAAAGGAAUUGGCGGGGGAGCACCACAAGGGGUGAAGCCUGCGGUUCAAUUGGAGUCAACGCCAGAAAUCUUACCCGGAGAGACAGCAGAAUGAAGGUCAAGCUGAAGACUUUACCAGACAAGCUGAGAAGAGGUGCAUGGCC